rnacentral:rRNA from 1 species
AGAGUUUGAUCAUGGCUCAGAUUGAACGCUGGCGGCAUGCCUUACACAUGCAAGUCGAGCGGCAGCGCGGGGGCAACCCUGGCGGCGAGCGGCGAACGGGUGAGUAAUGCAUCGGAACGUGUCCUCUUGUGGGGGAUAACCAGUCGAAAGACUGGCUAAUACCGCAUGAGAUCGAGAGAUGAAAGCGGGGGACCGCAAGGCCUCGCGCGAGAGGAGCGGCCGAUGCCGGAUUAGCUAGUUGGCGGGGUAAUGGCCCACCAAGGCGACGAUCCGUAGCUGGUCUGAGAGGACGACCAGCCACACUGGGACUGAGACACGGCCCAGACUCCUACGGGAGGCAGCAGUGGGGAAUUUUGGACAAUGGGGGCAACCCUGAUCCAGCCAAGCCGCGUGUGUGAAGAAGGCCUUCGGGUUGUAAAGCACUUUCGGACGGAACGAAAUCGCGCGGGCGAAUAUCCCGCGUGGAUGACGGUACCGUAAGAAGAAGCACCGGCUAACUACGUGCCAGCCGCCGCGGUAAUAC